rnacentral:rRNA from 1 species
GUGUCAGCCGCCGCGGUAAUACGGAGGGUGCAAGCGUUAAUCGGAAUUACUGGGCGUAAAGCGCGCGUAGGCGGCUCGGUCAGUCGGGUGUGAAAUCCCUGGGCUCAACCUGGGAACUGCAUUCGAUACUGCCGAGCUAGAGUGUGGGAGAGGGUAGUGGAAUUCCCGGUGUAGCGGUGAAAUGCGUAGAUAUCGGGAGGAACAUCAGUGGCGAAGGCGACUGCCUGGCCCAACACUGACGCUGAGGUGCGAAAGCGUGGGUAGCAAACAGGAUUAGAUACCCUUGUAGUCC